rfam:Mesocricetus auratus contig141287, whole genome shotgun sequence.
GAAUGUGUAGGUGAUACACCUUCAACACCUGUCACCAUUCUGAUCAUUACAGUUGAUUCUGACUGACCUGUUUUGUUAGGUUGUGUUCCCUUUCACCACUCCUUUUUUUCUUUCUUGUAGCUCCACAUUGGUCAAAGAGGAAGAUCUUCUCAGAAUAAAGGAAGACAGGUUUCCAGUCAAGAAUACAUGAGUAGGUAUGCUUCUAUGUUUGAAUCUAUAAGUCACCAAGUUCAACUUCUAUUUUCAAACAUGUUUCUACACUACAUUCUAGGAUGGUCUGUGGUUCAAU